GAUGAACGCUGGCGGCGUGCCUAAUACAUGCAAGUCGAGCGAACAGACGAGGAGCUUGCUCCUCUGACGUUAGCGGCGGACGGGUGAGUAACACGUGGAUAACCUACCUAUAAGACUGGGAUAACUUCGGGAAACCGGAUCUAACACCGGAUAAUAUAUUGAACCGCAUGGUUCAAUAGUGAAAGACGGUUUUGCUGUGACUUAUAGAGGGAUCCGCGCCGCAUUAGCUAGUUGGUAAGGUAACGGCUUACCAAGGCAACGAUGCGUAGCCGACCUGAGAGGGUGAUCGGCCACACUGGAACUGAGACACGGUCCAGACUCCUACGGGAGGCAGCAGUAGGGAAUCUUGCGCAAUGGGCGAAAGCUUGACGGAGCAACGCCGCGUGAGUGAUGAAGGUCUUCGGAUCGUAAAACUCUGUUAUUAGGGAAGAACAAAUGUGUAAGUAACUAUGCACGUCUUGACGGUACCUAAUCAGAAAGCCACGGCUAACUACGUG
rnacentral:rRNA from 1 species